rnacentral:rRNA from 1 species
GACGAACGCUGGCGGCGUGCCUAAUACAUGCAAGUCGAGCGAAUGACGAGAAGCUUGCUUCUCUGAUUUAGCGGCGGACGGGUGAGUAACACGUGGGCAACCUGCCCUACAGAUCGGGAUAACUCAGGGAAACCUGGGCUAAUACCGGAUAAUCCUUCGAAUCACAUGUUUUGAAGUUGAAAGGCGCUUCGGCGUCACUGUAGGAUGGGCCCGCGGUGCAUUAGCUAGUUGGUGGGGUAACGGCCUACCAAGGCAACGAUGCAUAGCCGACCUGAGAGGGUGAUCGGCCACAUUGGGACUGAGACACGGCCCAAACUCCUACGGGAGGCAGCAGUAGGGAAUCUUCCACAAUGGACGAAAGUCUGAUGGAGCAACGCCGCGUGAGUGAUGAAGGUUUUCGGAUCGUAAAACUCUGUUGUAAGGGAAGAACAAGUACGUUAGGAAAUGAACGUACCUUGACGGUACCUUAUUAGAAAGCCACGGCUAACUACGUGCCAGCCGCCGCAGUAA